AGAAACUUAAGUUAUAUAAACUAGAGGCCUUCAAAGCCCCCAAAAAAGUCACUUUAGUUUCUG
rnacentral:tRNA from 1 species